UUUUGAAAGAUAGUUUCUUGUCAAAGGGGCCAAAGAAGAAAGAUUGAAUACCAUUAAAAAUGGUAGAUAUUGCAGAAAUCAAGAACAAAGUUCUCAAAGAAUUUCAUAAUACACUUUGAACAAGCCAUAGAAGAGUUUGAACCACCUACUAUAAGAUCAAGGAAUAAUAUUAGUGGAAAGAUCUCUACAAAGAUGUGGAUAAUUUUGUGGCUUUUUGUAUUGAAUGCCAAUUGUAGUUCAAUCAGAUUUAGAGAUGAGUUGCAUCUGCUCUAUCUACUUGUUAUGAAUUUUCAAUAGGUGGUUAACUUGGUAACUAUGCCAUUGAGAUUAUGCAACAUAAAAUAU
rnacentral:lncRNA from 1 species